rnacentral:rRNA from 1 species
UACGAAGGGUGCAAGAGUUGUUCGGAAUUAUUGGGCGUAAAGGGCGCGUAGGUGGGUAGGCAAGUCAAAUGUGAAAUCCUUGGGCUUAACCUGAGAACUGCAUUUGAAACUGCCUGUCUUGAAUGUUCGAGAGGAUGAUGGAAUUCCAGGUGUAGAAGUGAAAUUCGUAGAUAUCUGGAGGAACACCCGAGGCGAAGGCGAUCAUCUGGCGAAACAUUGACACUGAGGCGCGAAAGCGUGGGGAUCAAACAGG